UACGGAGGGUGCGAGCGUUGUUCGGAAUCACUGGGCGUAAAGGGCGUGUAGGCGGUCCGCUAAGUCUGAUGUGAAAGCCCGGGGCUCACCCCCGGAAGUGCAUUGGAAACUGGCGGACUCGAGUCCCGGAGAGGAGAGUGGAAUUCCUGGUGUAGCGGUGAAAUGCGUAGAUAUCAGGAGGAACACCGGUGGCGAAGGCGACGUCCUGGACCGGCAUUGACGCUGAGGCGCGAAAGCCAGGGGAGCAAACGGG
rnacentral:rRNA from 1 species